UACGAAGGGGGCUAGCGUUGCUCGGAAUCACUGGGCGUAAAGGGUGCGUAGGCGGGUCUUUAAGUCAGGGGUGAAAUCCUGGAGCUCAAAUCCAGAACUGCCUUUGAUACUGAAGAUCUUGAGUUCGGGAGAGGUGAGUGGAACUGCGAGUGUAGAGGUGAAAUUCGUAGAUAUUCGCAAGAACACCAGUGGCGAAGGCGGCUCACUGGCCCGAUACUGACGCUGAGGCACGAAAGCGUGGGGAGCAAACAGG
rnacentral:rRNA from 1 species